rnacentral:rRNA from 1 species
ACUUAAAUUGAAGAGUUUGAUCAUGGCUCAGAUUGAACGCUGGCGGCAGGCCUAACACAUGCAAGUCGAGCGGUAGCACAGAGAGCUUGCUCUCGGGUGACGAGCGGCGGACGGGUGAGUAAUGUCUGGGAAACUGCCUGAUGGAGGGGGAU